GUGCCAGCAGCCGCGGUAAUACGUAGGUGGCAAGCGUUGUCCGGAAUUAUUGGGCGUAAAGCGCGCGCAGGCGGUUUCUUAAGUCUGAUGUGAAAGCCCCCGGCUCAACCGGGGAGGGUCAUUGGAAACUGGGGAACUUGAGUGCAGAAGAGGAGAGUGGAAUUCCACGUGUAGCGGUGAAAUGCGUAGAGAUGUGGAGGAACACCAGUGGCGAAGGCGACUCUCUGGUCUGUAACUGACGCUGAGGCGCGAAAGCGUGGGGAGCGAACAGGAUUAGAUACCCUGGUAGUCCACGCCGUAAACGAUGAGUGCUAAGUGUUAGAGGGUUUCCGCCCUUUAGUGCUGCAGCAAACGCAUUAAGCACUCCGCCUGGGGAGUACGGUCGCAAGACUGAAACUCAAAGGAAUUGACGG
rnacentral:rRNA from 1 species